CAUUGCCCAUAGUCAUGUUCCCUAGAUGGAUUAAAAAUAUGAGGAUUAACUUUUGUAAGACACUGAACAAUACUUUCUUAGUGCAUUAGAACAGUAGAGGUUUUAAAGACGCCCUUCCUGUCUUCAAGUUUGCUCCUUCAUGUCUGCUUUGAGAAGAAAAUCUAGAUAAUCAGAUAAUCAACCUUUUCUAACUAUCUUAGAAAUUGUGUCGGAGAAGCCCUCAACCAAGAAAGUCCAGGUGCUUCAGAGUCAAGGUUUAUGGCUUAAAAUAUGCAAGACUUAGCUGCCUCAAAACGCAAAGUUCCUUCUGAAGGCGGUGCAUUUAUUGGCUUCUGGAAUCUUAAACCCUGCAUGCUGCAGUUCUAAGCUGUGCCGAGCGCUGGCUGUGACAGAAGAAGCUACCUGCGAGUUUUCA